UGACGCGGCAGGACUGGCUGGGCGGGCGCGGGCCGCCUCACCGCACCUCACCGCGCCGCGCCUCGGCGGGGAGGGCGGGCGGCCGCGCCUCCCUACCUGGGCAGCUGCCGCCGCCGCCUCUUCCUCCGGCCGAGCCCUGCCGGGCCUUUGCUCCCCGGCCGCGGCAGCCUUUGCUGGAGGCAGCUCUGCUGUGGGUGCCCAGCGAAGUGUGAGCCACAGAACAACUUCACUGCAAGAGCUUCACUGGGGAGCAUGACCAGUUUAGGUCUGUCUGUAUCCUGUGGAUGGCUCUUCAGGCAAAAAAAGGAUAUUGCUAAUUCUAAAGCAGCAGCACAAAGUAGUUGAAAAGACCAGAAAGUGGCUAGAGAAGAAUUCCACUUACACAGGAUGAAUCCCUCGAUAACGGACAAAUCCCACCGCAGCUUCAUGGAAACUUUUCUUCAGCAUCCAAUCUGUUGAAAUUCCUGAGCAAAACAAGAGCCCUAAGUUUGCUCCUGAGUUAGUCAGAGCUGUGGGCACCGUCCCCCGAGGCGGUGGGGAGCAGCAGAGGAAUCGGGGCAGCGCCGGAGCUUGGAUUCUGUUUGAUGUUGAGGCUGGUGUGACUCACGCUGUGAUCCAGCCUUCACUGCAGCUGCCCCGGAGUUCUGGGUCUGAAGACGGAGCUCCCUGUCUGCUGCCCAGCCUGGAGCAUGGCUGCAGCU